AGUGAACGCUGGCGGUAGGCCUAACACAUGCAAGUCGAACGGCAGCACAGUAAGAGCUUGCUCUUACGGGAGGCGAGUGGCGGACGGGUGAGGAAUACAUCGGAAUCUACUUUUUCGUGGGGGAUAACGUAGGGAAACUUACGCUAAUACCGCAUACGACCUACGGGUGAAAGCAGGGGAUCUUCGGACCUUGCGCGAUUGGAUGAGCCGAUGUCGGGUUAGCUAGUUGGCGGGGUAAAGGCCUACCAAGGCGAAGAUCCGUAGCUGGUCUGAGAGGAUGAUCAGCCACACGGGAACUGAGACACGGCCCACACACCUACGGGAGGCAGCAGUGGGGAAUAUUGCACAAUGGGCGCAAGCCUGAUCCAGCCAUACCGCGUGGGUGAAGAAGGCCUUCGGGUUGUAAAGCCCUUUUGUUGUGAAAGAAAAGCAGCAGGUUAAUACCCCGCUGUUCUGACGGUACCCGAAGAAGAAGCACCGGCUAACUUCGUG
rnacentral:rRNA from 1 species